AUUGAACGCUGGCGGAAUGCUUUACACAUGCAAGUCGAACGGCAGCACGGACUUCGGUCUGGUGGCGAGUGGCGAACGGGUGAGUAAUGUAUCGGAACGUGCCCAGGCGUGGGGGAUAACGUAGUGAAAAUUGCGCUAAUACCGCAUACGAUCUAUGAAUGAAAGCGGGGGAUCGCAAGACCUCGCGCGAUUGGAGCGGCCGAUAUCAGUUUAGGUAGUUGGUGGGGUAAAGGCCCACCAAGCCAACGAACUGUAGCUGGUCUGAGAGGACGACCAGCCACACUGGAACUGAGACACGGUCCAGACUCCUACGGGAGGCAGCAGUGGGGAAUUUUGGACAAUGGGCGAAAGCCUGAUCCAGCCAUUCCGCGUGCAGGAUGAAGGCCCUCGGGUUGUAAACUGCUUUUGUACAGAACGAAAAGGUUUCUACUAAUACUAGGAGCUCAUGACGGUACUGUAAGAAUAAGCACCGGCUAACUACGUGCCAGCCGCCGCGGUAA
rnacentral:rRNA from 1 species